UGGACCGGUUAGACGGCACAAGGUAUAUUUGAACAGGACAUACUGAUUCAAAUAUUUAGUAUAUUUGUGUCUUUGAUUCUUUUAGCAGGCAUGAUUCAUGUUCUCACAAUUCAGUUUUCUACCUUAGUGGAUUCAUGCACAAAUCACAUCUUUGUUGAGUUGUAUGCCACCGUAUAUGCUUAUGCAACAAAAAUGCCCGACCCUUGUACACAUUCCAAAACUUCUAGAUGUCCACUAGCUGUAUGAUUUUGCUCUAAAUUGCCCAUGUGUGUUCCUUCGCGGUCUAACAUGCCUUGGAGGCCCAUGCUGUUGCUUACAUUCUCGUAAUCUUCCUCUUAGAUUUGAUAAUAUAAAGCGGGGCGAAAGCCUUUUUUAGUAAUAUCGAUGAAUGGUGAAAGACAGUGACAAGUACUUGUUCAAGGAGCUAUCUGUGGGAGGGGAAGCGUGAAGGAUAGGGGCAAGCUCUGUUCUAUGCAACUUAGCUGGCUCAAAUUUGUUAGGAUAACUCAAACUUGUUCUCCUAUCAUUGGUUUUGUUUUGCCCCCAAAAAAAAAAAAAGAAUCCUUCUUCUGAUGACUAAUACAGUACUAAAAAUGAUUUGAUAACACAUGAAUGAAUGAUCCAUGUGUACAGCUUUCCUUUUUAGAGGACACAGUUCAGUUCGCCAACUGUCUGAGCACACUGAGCAAAGCCCCCAAGCCAAUCGAAGGUGUGUAUGGUGUGUAUGUAUGCGUGACACGGUUUCAUUCUUUAAACAUAACCAGUAAAUUUAUUUCUUUGCUGCACACUGUACCUACGUGCAUGACACGGUUUCAUUCUUUGUAUGUAACCGAUGAUUUUCAUUCUUUGUCUGGGGUUUGCCGCACCGAACGUGUGUAACCUGUAUGUAUCGCCAAGCCUGUGUGUGUGAUCUGAUGAAGGAAAUCGUAGGCGUCUGAUGUGCGACCAAGAUGAUGCCGACCUGACACAGCUGCAGAAUAAACACGGCACGAAGGUGUGCAGUGCGGCGAAGGUUGCUGUUGCUGAGCUCCAGGAGCACAACCCUGCGCCGGAUCUCUGGAACUUGAGCAAAGGAUGGUCGGCGACGACGACGGAGGCGCCCAACUGCUGAAGCAGCUCUCUAAGGGCAUCUUCAGCCGCGCCCCCAACAGACCCUUCCCAGGCAAUUUUGCCGUGCCGUCGUCAAAAAAAGGCCCCAGUUGCGCCCUCAGAAGCCCGUUUUUCGCCGGCUCGGGCCAAAACUGAUACCGGCGGACCCAGGCCGAACCCGGCGCCUUGGGGGCCCUUGGGGAGCCGGCACAAGCGAAAAAGGCGCGUGGGCCCGCCCUGGAGGCGACCCGAGGGCCUUUUCCCGCCGUUUCUUGACGCUUUUCCCUCGCAUCUCUCCCGCUCGCUCGCCUUCCUCCCGCCAUUCUCUCCCUUUCUCCCGCCAAACCCCCUCCCGCUCGCCUUCCAGUCGCCGCCAUGCUGCCGAAGCAGUACGCGGCAACCGCGACUGGCGCCGUGGCCCAGCCAAAGCAGAGGAAGCCGAGGGCGCCGCCAUCGAAGCCACCGGGCCUGUCGAACGCCGAAUGGAGGGUGGAAGUUCAACGGCGCGAAGCAGUCACCGCCGACAUGCGGAACAGGGCCAUAGCCAAGAAGGUCCGCGACAACGCGGCGCGCGCGACGGCGUCUUCCUCAUCGGUCGACCAGGCGGGGAUUAAUCCACCCGUCGUCAGCCACGCCCAGUACGCGCCCUGGGGACAGCAAGGCGCCGGAUCUACAUGAGGUUCAUCGUCGCCCGGCUACGCCGACGGCGACGCGCACGGUGGGUUCAACCCAAACGUGACCUUCCCUCAUGGUCACCCCGCUACACGCACGCCCUCGCCCGCCUUCGUCGGCGUGCCGUACCCUCCAUACAACUACUCGCCGCCCGCCGCCUACGCGUCCACACCGACGCCCCAUCUCUACCGUGGACCGCUACCCUUUCCGCACCUCGGCGACGCCGACGACACGGGAGCCGACAUGGACGACAUCAUCGCGACAGGAUCGACCGCGGCCGCCGCGUCUCCCGGGUUCGCCACCCAGGACGAGGUAGUGGACCUCAGCGGCGACAUGGAGGCCGAGCUCGGCUACGUCUACGGCGACGACGCGCAGGAACCCGAGGAGGAGGAGGAGGACGAGGAGGAGGAGGAGGAGUCGGCUCCUGUUCCGACGAAGGGGCGCCAGAAGAAGAAGAAGCGGGCGGCUAGGUCAGGCGAACCGCACAUCAAGUGGACGUCCAAGGAGGAGGAAUGCCUCGCCGAAGCAUGGAAAGUCGUCUGCCUCGACCCGACCACCGGCGCGAACCAGAGCUUGGAGACGUACUGGGACCGCAUCAAGGCCGAGUUCGACGAGCGGAAGCUCAUCGACCCCUACUUCAAAGGCGUCUACAUGCAGCGCGGCUCCAAGGCGAUGGUGAACCAUUGGGGGCGUAUCCAGUUGGCGUGCAACAAAUGGCAUGGAAUCGUCGAGGAGGUCGCGGCUCGCCCGGAGAGCGGCGCCAGCGUUGAGGAUCAGGUACGCACGCCGUUCGCCUGCAUAUCUUCGUCCCCUACACCCACCACCCGCCAACUGUUUGUCCCUCCGCGUAGCUGCUGCGUAUAUUCGCCAUGUAUCGGGGCGACAACCAAGACGCCGACUUCAAGCACCUCCACGUCUACAAGCGCAUUGACAAGUGCGAGAAGUGGGCGGAAGUCCGACGUGCCCUCGACAAGGCCAAGGAGACAUACAAGCCGGACGCGAUGACUCCGGGCGCGUCAGAGGGGCGGCCGGACGGCCAUAAAUUGGCAAAGAAGGGGAAAAGCGCCGACGCGGCAACCGCGCGAGUGCAGGAGUCCAUCGAGCAUUGCCUCGCCGACGCCCAGGCCCGGGCCGUCAUACGCGAAGAGAAGACCGAGGCGCGGUGGUCGUCGCUAAUGAAGAACAACGCCAUCAAGCUCGACCUGCUCCGGACGAACGUCGCCGCGAAGAAGAGGAACACCGACGUGGCUUUUCUGAUGGGCGAGGCUGACAUGCUCCAGAGCAACAACGAGAAGCUCAAGGCGUGGUACCUGGUGCAGCGCGGCCUCAUCCUGAACGAGCUGCCGACGGCAACGCCGACGACGCCCACGACCACACAGACGCCAAGCCUGAACGAUGCCUCUACAUCGCCGCCCAGUAGUGCCGAAGCCGCGCCGACGCAGCCCAGCACCGAAGCAGCUCCGACACAGCCAACGCCUGGAGCCGACCCCGCCGAGUGAAUCGUUGCGCACGCGAACUUGCGGCGGCGGCGCUCUGUUUUUUGUAACGCUAGACUACGUCCAAUCGCCGGAUUUGCGGCGUCUUUUGAGAGCGGGAACGACCAAGUUUAAAUUUCCUGCAUCCUGAGCCGGCGCGUGGGGGCGUGACUGGGAGUUAGGUCGCCCCCAGGGGCCGAACUAGCACCGGCACGCCCCCAGACCAUUCUAUUUAAGCGUCCUGGGGGGCCGAACGGCUGGAGAUGCCCUAAGCGUGAGCUCUCUGAAAGACACAAGCUCUGUUCUCUGCAAAUGCAAUGCUCUUCUGUACUUCCUCCGUCUGAACAUAUUUGUCAUCAAAAUAAAUAAAAUGAGAUGUAUUUAGAUGUAUUUUAGUUCUAAAUACAUCUCUUUUUAUCCAAUUUUAUGACAAAUAUUUCCGGACGAAAGGGUAGUAUCUUUUCUGAACUCAAUUAAGUGUCUACUCUGCGGCGGAGACAGGCCCAGGCAGCCGGGGCGGCAGCCUGGGCGUGGGGCAGUUUCCUUUGGUUACUGUAGCAUACAUUGUAGCUACAGUGACGGCACCCCCACUCACUCUGUUGCGGUGCAGAUGGAUGCGUCUUAUCCGCAUCUUAGUUGAGUACAAAUGCAGGAUGGCCGCUUAGUUGGAAGGAAAUGAAUGUAUUAGAUUUAUCACCCGAAAAUCCAAAUCUGAGCCCGAGCUCAUCUGCACCUGCGCUCACCAAAAAAAUCAAAAUAAAUACUAAAAAAAUUCAAAAAAUUCCAAAACAAAUUGGGGUGGUGGACAAUUUGAUGCGUGAGGCGCGCCUCAAUUUUCAAAACAUUUGGACUUAUAUGCAUCUCUCAACAAAAAAGAAAACAAAUCAGAGGUCAGUAAAAAUGUGUACUGUUCAUAUACUGUUUUGGUCUGAUUUGUCUUUUUUGCUGAGAGCUGCACAUAAGUCCAAAUAUUUACAAAAUUGGAGCGCACCUCACGCAUCAAAUUGUCCACCACCUCAAUUUUUUUCGGAAUUUUUUGAAUUUUUCUGAAUGUUUUACGAUUUUUUUUUGAACGGGUGCAGAUGCACCCGGGCACCGAAACGCCGCACUCAUUUAUCACCCCCUUUUUUUUGCAUGGAAGAUUAAUUAGACUGUUUGCCUGCAAAUGUAUUGAUCUACUACAGUUAGUUUCUAUGCAAACUGCUGCAUGUGUCCUCGCAGCUGGCUCCUGUAAUACACAAAACAUCAUUCCUCUGUUUUUAAUUGCUGUCUUAAAAAACACUUGCAGCUAAUUUUUUCUGGGAUCAAUACUUUGAUUUCAAAAAAGAAAACUGUUGCAUAUUUGUGGCAUGGGCUAACUGGGUUCAUGUUUGCUGACACACAAUAAAUAUAAAUAAAGACCUGCACUUAGAAUUUAACGGUGGCCUUCGUAAGUGUCAAUAAAUUAUCACAGAAAUAUAGAGCAUGUCACACGUAUUAAUUCGUGAAUAUAAGUUAUAUUGGGUCCAAACUUAAUCUAUUCAUUGUUGGCACCAACAAUUGCUAUCGGUGGUCACUAAAACAUCAAUGACAUUAAGCAACCAGCUGGCCGCCUUUAAAGACUAUGCUGUGUAGCCACAAACGCAAGCAGAGGAGGGCCAAGAUACUGACAACUGCCUCCAUCUCAAAAUAUAAGAAUUGCCUAUGAAAACGUCUUAUAUUUUGAGACGGAGGUAGCUUUGUACUAAACUUAUUUUGGGACGGAGGGAGUAUCUAGACGGAGAGAUGGAUGUAUCUAGACGUAUUUUUGUUCUAGAUGCAUCCAUUUCUAUGAUAAGUAUUUCCGGACGGGGGGAGUACUUCUGUGUGUGGUAGCUAGCCACUAGCCUUUGCUCUUGCUUAGCUCUAGUAUAAUUAGAUUAGUUAGACUGUUGUCUGCAAUCAAAACUGUAGCGAGGCCUUUCUACACAAACUGCUGCAUGUGUCCUCAGCAGCUGGCUCCGGUAUAACUCAAAACAAUAUCCCUCUGUUUCUAAUUGUUGUAUUUAAAUGCAUUAAAUUGGUUUGGGAUUAACACUUGCAUUUUAACAAAAAAAUAGCCUCCCUAAAAAAAUUGUUCUUACUUAUGGAAUGACCUAACCUGAUUCAUGUGUGCUGCCAAUUUUUUUUUUGAAAACAUGAACUCAGAAUUUAACAGCGGCCUCCGUAAGUGUCAAAGAAUUAUCGCUGAAAUACAGUUGAGGCCACACGAAUUAAUUCAUGAAUAUAAUUUAUAUGGACCCAAACUUGAUCAAUUCAACGGUACCGGCGAAUGCUACCAUUUGAUAAAAUAUCAAUGACAAUAAUCAGCCAGUGGGUAGCUUGCCAAUCUCUUUCAGAAGACAAUUCCAGCUUCCGCUUUUAAAGACUGUGCUGUGUGGCCACAAGCGCAAGCAGAGGAGGGCCAAGACACUGACUUGUAUUUAUCAUCUACUGGCGUAUACCAGCUAGCGAGUAUCCUUUGCUCUUGCUGGGCUCUAGUAUGCUGCUGCUAUCUGCCCAGACAAGGCAUCACGAAAUCUCAGAAAUCUGAAGAUUUCGUUCAUUCCCUUCUGCAAUUGCAAGCAGAGGAAGUUUCAUCUUGAUCGCUGUUGAUUGAAGUAAUCCUGUAUUCAGGUAUAUAUAUUCAGUUUCUUUUUACAUUAAGGUAUAUAUAUUCAGUUUAGUUACCUGUUUUGUUCACUAGUUGGUCAAUAAUCUUGUAUCAUCUAUUGCAGGUGUAGCAGCAUGGUUUUCUCCUGGUGAUUGGCCGAUAAUCUUCUUUUAUCUAUUUUGUUUAUAGCUUGCGCACAGCCUCGCGAGAUCUUGAAACUAUCGAUGGGCUAGAAGACUGGUUCUAAGGUAAGACUUGCUGCCGUACCUCAGAGAGCUUCGGACCUUAGUUUCAUAACUUCAGUGGAAUGAAUUGUGAUGAUUUAUAGGCUAGCAUGUCGGAAAACGAUUAGAGUUAAGAUGGAUUUGACAACCACAAAUAAUUAGCUGGUUGAUCAAUCUGUAUCUAACUGUAUUUUGUAACUCAAUGAAAGAAUUUCAGUAGUAGUUUGGUGUGGAGUAGUUUGACAACCACAAAUAAUUAGUAUGCUGUAACUCAUGGCCCUUUAACUGACCAAAACAAACCAGCAAAUCAUAUAAAUUGGCAACCGGAAAAAAAUUGAAAGGGAAGAAUGCCAAAUGAUUAAGAAUUUAUACCUCAAUACAAGUUUCUACGCAAACUGCUGCACAUAUCCUCAGUCACAUUCACACCUGGCUCCUGUAUAACACAAAACAUUAUCCCUCUGUUUUUAAUUGUUAUAUUUUAUAAGACUUAUAUUCAAUUAUUUUUGGGAUCCAUACUUGCGUUUCAACAGAACUGUCCUAUUUGUGGCAUGAGCUAACUCGAUUCACGUUUGCUCACGCAAAAGAAAAAAGAAAAACAUGAACUUAUAAUUCUACGGUGGCGUGCGUAAAUGUCAAUAAACUAUCACCAAAAUGUAGUUUAGGUCACACAAAUUAAAUUCAUGAAUAUACUUUAUAUGGGCCAAACUUAGCCUAUUCAUAAAUGGCCCUGGUCAAUGCUAUUGGUCAAUUAAAAGAGCAAUGACAACAAGCAGCCAAUGGGAAGCUUGCCAGUCUCUCUUGACUGGUUUGUUCCCUUCUUCUUCUGCAACUGCAAGCAGAUGAAGUUUCUGUCUUGAUCGCCGUUGAUUGAAAUGACCGUCAGUAGCUUCUCAGUUUAGCUACCGUCUGUAUCCAGGCACAUGUACAUUCAGUUUAGUUACCUGCACUUCUGGCACUCCUUUUUUUGUUCAAUAAUCUUGCAUCACCCAUUGCAGGUGCAGCAGCAUGGUUUCCCCCUGGUAAUUGACUGAUAAUUUUCUGUUAUCUAUUGCGAUUCUUAGCUUGCACUCAGCCUUGCGAGAUCUUUAAAACUAUAGAUGGGCUAGAAGACUGCAGGUUUAUAAGGUCAAAACUUGGUACCGUGGAAUAAAUUAUGAUGAUUGAUAGACUAGCAUGUACGGAACCAAUUAGAGUUAAGAUGAAUUAGACAAAAAAAUAUAAAUAUCUAGAUGAUUUAUCCAUAUCACUCUAUGUUGUAACUAAAUGCAACAUUUUCAGUAGUAGUUCGGUGUGGAGGCUUCUGUGCAGAUUGGCAACCGGAAAAACAAUUAAAGAACAGAAUGCCAGAUGAUUAAGAAUUGAGACCUUAAUACUUGGCACUACCGCUCAAGCUGUAUUUGCAUAGUUAUAUUAUUAUUAUUAUUGAAAAUGUAAAUGGCAGCCCACUAGUGAUAAAUUUCGUGAGCCUUGUCCUACUUUGAAAGCAUGUUAUCAUACCUUGUGCAUCCAUUUUCAGCUUUCGGUUUCAGCCAGACUCAAGGAAUAUCCUAGUGUUUUUGGUGGACCUCUGGCGCUGAGUUUGUCUGAUCCAUGGCAGCCGUACUUGAAACUUUGCUUAAAUCAAGUGUCAAUAAGUUGCAAGAUGUCAUUACAGAUGAGGCCAUACUAAUCCUAGGGGUGGAAGAAGAGCUCACAAAAACUACUGCGACGAGUGGAACUAAUUCAGUGUUGUAUAUACCAUGCUGAGAAAAGGAGGACAAAAGAGCAAGCAGUAAACAAUUGGCUUGGUCAACUGAGAGAUGUUGUAUAUGAUGUUGAUGAAAUCUUGGACGUGGCUAGAUGUAAAGGAAGCGAGCUACUUGCUGACCACCCUUCACCAUCAUCAGACAAAUCAGUUGAAUGUAAAGGCCUUUCAGUUUCCUCCUGUUUUUGCAACAUAGUGCCACGCCGUGAUGUUGCAGAAUGCAUGACCUCUUAAGACAGCUUGCUUUAAAUAUAUCAAGAGAAGAAUGUUUUGUUGGAGAUGUUGAAUCAUUAAGGGGUGAAAAUAUGUCAAAACUGCGACGUGUUACUGCUGUUGCAACUAAAAAGGAUAUAUUAGUGUUGCUUAGCAAGGAUAAAGUCAAAGUUAAGGUGAGGACUUUCCUAACUGUUCGUGGUCCAUAGAGAAUUGAGGAUACAUUGUUCAAGAGAUUUCUGCUUCUUCGUGUUUUGGUACUGAAUUACACACUUGUGCAAAGCAUCCCAAAUUAUAUAGGAAAAUUGAUACAUCUACGCCUACUUAAUCUAGAUCACACUGGCAUAUCUUGUCUUCCGGAAUCCAUUGGCUCCCUAAAGAACCUUCAAGUACUGAGCUUGAGAUGGUGUAAUGAUCUGCACACUCUUCCUUCGGCAAUGACCCUGUUGACCAGUUUAAGAUGUCUUAAUCUUUUUGGCACAAAAAUAAAUCAGGUUCCCAAAGGCAUAGGCAAACUGAAGUUCCUCACCCAUUUAAGAGAUUAUCCUGUUGGUGAUGGAAGUGAUAAUGCUGUUGUACAAGAUGGAUGGAAGUUAGAAGAGUUGUCUUCUUUGUCGCAGAUGAGGUAUCUUUCUCUUGUUAAAUUGGAAAGAGCAGCUCACUGCAGUACAAAUACAGUGCUUAUAGACAAAAAGCAUCUAAAGACUCUAAUACUAGAGUGGACUAAACAUGGAGAGGGGUCAUAUUCUGAAGAAAAUGUUAGCAAUGUUGAGAAGGUGUUUGAGCAGCUAAUACCUCCACCUAACCUGGAAGACCUAUCUAUUGUUAGAUUCUUUGGUCAGCGGUAUCCCACCUGGUUUGGUACCACCUGUUUGUCUUCAUUAUUAUACAUGAAACUCAUAGAAGUACGAUCAUGUGUGGAACUACCACCGUUUGGGCAGCUACCCAACUUGAAAUUUCUGAGAAUUGAUGGAGCACAUGCAGUUACCAAGGUUGGACCUGAAUUUGUUGGCUGCAAGAAGGGUGAUCCUGUAUAUAAUGAGUUGGUUGCUUUCCCUAAGCUUGAAUGCUUGAUCUUCAAGGAUAUGCCCAACUGGGAGGUGUGGUCUUUUUUUGAGGAAGAAGUUGUUGCUGCUGAUGUAAGGGGAGAGGAUGGAGUUGCUGAGAUUCUAAAAGAGGAUACCCAAUCUGCAAGGUUGCAACUGCUGCCCCAUUUGUUGCAAGUGCAACUUUGCGGUUGCCCGAAGCUGAGGGAUCUCCCGCAACAGCUUGGAAAAGACACCGCCUGUCUGAAGGAGCUCAGUUUAAGAGAACUAAACAACUUGAAGGCCAUGGAGGACCGCCCAGUGCUCUCUGAGCUCCUUUUUAUUGGGAAUUGCGAAGGCCUGGAGAGGAUCUGCAACCUCCGUCAAGUAACAAAGCUGCGUGUAUUUGGUUGUCCAAACUUAAGCCAUGUAGAGGGGCUGGACAGUUUGCAGCAGCUGAGGCUAGGCAAGGAUAUGCAAGAGAUAUCUUCAAGAUGGGUGCCUGGGCUUCAAGAGCAGCACCGGCGGCUUCAUGGCGAGGACCUGGAUGUCUACACUGUCUAGCAGUUAGAUGCCUCAAGGUAUAUAUGAACACUGCCUGCUGAUUUGAUAUUGAGUAUUGCGUCUUUGAUUCUCAUGCAACCAUUCGCUUAUGAAACAGAAUUUGUUUUUGAUUCUAUUGGCAGCAGACUGCAAGCGUAUAAGUUAUUAAUGUUGUUCUAAGUUGCUUGUGUGUGUUCCUUCUUUAACAUGCACUGUAAACCCCUGCUAUUGCUUACGUUCUCGUAAUUUUCCUCUUAGAGUUGAUAAUAUGGGCAAACGGUGAAAGGCGGCGACAAGUACUUGUUCAAGGAGCUAUCUGUGGGAGGAGAAGUGUGAAGGAUAAGGGACAAAGCUCUGUUCUCUGCGAUGGAGCUGAAGAAGAAGAAGGAAACUGCAGAAACUACUUACUAGCUACACCAUCUGCCAAAAAACUUAAUAGUGCAAUGCACUGCUCUUCAGACUUCAGUGGUACUACUAUCGUUUUCUUUUCUGAACUUAAUUAUUGUCGCUCUUCAGUGGCUGUUUAGUUUAGUUGGGAGGAAUUGGAUAUAUUUGGUUAAUUGGAACGUUGCCUGUAAUCAAACUGGCCAGGUGCAUCUCGUGUGUAAUACUGUAUUUGUUUACCCCCACGCUGGAUUGGAUGUAAUCAAACCUUAAAUCUUGUGCGCGGGACUAAUAAGGUUACUUCACUCAUGGACGGGCUGCAAUCAAUCAAGACAUGCUUUCUUGUCAGAGGACACGGUUCAGUUCGCAACUGUCUGAGCACACUGAGCGAAACCCGCCAUCGCUCCAAGCUGAUACUCCCUCCGUUCCUA
rnacentral:lncRNA from 1 species